UGAUUGCUUAUUGCACCACAUGUGUUUUCUAUUAUUAUGAAACUUUCUUUGGCGGUGAGACGUAAAACUCACGCCGCCAGAGGUUUACUAAAACUAAAUUUAAAUAUUGUCAUUUUUUGUUAUUAUUUAUUUAAUAGUCAAAACUUUCAACAACGGAUCUCUUGGUUCUCGCAUCGAUGAAGAACGCAGCGAAAUGCGAUACGUAAUAUGAAUUGCAGAUAUUCGUGAAUCAUCGAAUCUUUGAACGCACAUUGCGCCCUCUGGUAUUCCAGAGGGCAUGCCUGUUUGAGCGUCAUUUCUCCCUCAAACCUUUGGGUUUGGUGUUGAGCAAUACGCGAUACGGUUUGUUUGAAAUAUAGUAAUGUACCGACGUAAACGACUUAGGUCUAACCAAAAACGUUUUCUUUAGGUACUUAUGCUUUUUCAACAUUUGACCUCAAAUCAGGUAGGACUACCCGCUGAACUUAAGCAUAUCAAUAA
rnacentral:rRNA from 1 species